rnacentral:misc_RNA from 1 species
GAUGAAGAACGUAGCGAAAUGCGAUAAGUAGUGUGAAUUGCAGAUUUCAGUGAAUCAUCGAAUCUUUGAACGCACAUUGCGCCCUUUGGUAUUCCUUAGGGCAUGCCUGUUCGAGCGUCAUUUAAACCUUCAAGCUCAGCUUGGUGAUGGGUGACUGUCCGCUGCCUCCCCCCGGGGUGCGCCGCGGACUCGCCUCAAAACGAUUGGCGGCCGGUACGUUGGCUUCGAGCGCAGCAGAAACGCGUAACUCGAGUUCCCCGUGGCGGCUCCCAGAAGCAACCUUAUUAUUUUGACCUCGGAUCAGGUAGGGAUACCCGCUGAACUUAAGCAUAUCAAUAAGCGGAGGA